rnacentral:rRNA from 1 species
GGCGGCAGGCCUAAUACAUGCAAGUCGAGCGCGCCCUUCGGGGUGAGCGGCGGACGGGUGAGUAACGCGUGGGAAUAUGCCCUUCUCUAAGGAAUAGCCUCUGGAAACGGAGAGUAAUACCUUAUACGCCCUUUGGGGGAAAGAUUUAUCGGAGAAGGAUUAGCCCGCGUUAGAUUAGGUAGUUGGUGGGGUAAUGGCCUACCAAGCCUACGAUCUAUAGCUGGUUUGAGAGGAUGAUCAGCCACACUGGGACUGAGACACGGCCCAGACUCCUACGGGAGGCAGCAGUAGGGAAUCUUAGACAAUGGGGGCAACCCUGAUCUAGCCAUGCCGCGUGUGUGAUGAAGGCCCUAGGGUCGUAAAGCACUUUCGCCAGAGAUGAUAAUGACAGUAUCUGGUAAAGAAACCCCGGCUAACUCCGUGCCAGCAGCCGCGGUAAUACGGAGGGGGUUAGCGUUGUUCGGAAUUACUGGGCGUAAAGCGCACGUAGGCGGAUUAGUAAGUUAGAGGUGAAAUCCCAGGGCUCAACCCUGGAACUGCCUUUAAUACUGCUAGUCUUGAGUUCGAGAGAGGUAAGUGGAAUUCCGAGUGUAGAGGUGAAAUUCGUAGAUAUUCGGAGGAACACCAGUGGCGAAGGCGGCUUACUGGCUCGAUACUGACGCUGAGGUGCGAAAGUGUGGGGAGCAAACAGGAUUAGAUACCCUGGUAGUCCACACCGUAAACGAUGAAUGCCAGACGUCAGCAAGUAUACUUGUUGGUGUCACACCUAACGGAUUAAGCAUCCG